UCUGGGACAAGCCCUGGAAACGGGGUCUAAUACCGGAUAAUACUGUGCCCCUCAUGGGGGAUGGUUGAAAGCUCCGGCGGUGCAGGAUGAGCCCGCGGCCUAUCACCUUGUUGGUGGGGUAAUGGCCUACCAAGGCGACGACGGGUAGCCGGCCUGAGAGGGCGACCGGCCACACUGGGACUGAGACACGGCCCAGACUCCUACGGGAGGCAGCAGUGGGGAAUAUUGCACAAUGGGCGAAAGCCUGAUGCAGCGACGCCGCGUGAGGGAUGACGGCCUUCGGGUUGUAAACCUCUUUCAGCAGGGAAGAAGCGAAAGUGACGGUACCUGCAGAAGAAGCGCCGGCUAACUACGUGCCAGCAGCCGCGGUAAUACGUAGGGCGCAAGCGUUGUCCGGAAUUAUUGGGCGUAAAGAGCUCGUAGGCGGUCUGUCACGUCGGGUGUGAAAGCCCGGGGCUUAACCCCGGGUCUGCAUUCGAUACGGGCAGACUAGAGUGUGGUAGGGGAGAUCGGAAUUCCUGGUGUAGCGGUGAAAUGCGCAGAUAUCAGGAGGAACACCGGUGGCGAAGGCGGAUCUCUGGGCCAUUACUGACGCUGAGGAGCGAAAGCGUGGGGAGCGAACAGGAUUAGAUACCCUGGUAGUCCACGCCGUAAACGUUGGGAACUAGGUGUUGGCGACAUUCCACGUCGUCGGUGCCGCAGCUAACGCAUUAAGUUCCCCGCCUGG
rnacentral:rRNA from 1 species